UAUCUUAAGCCCGCAUCGUAGUCGACUUCAUUGGACAACCUUGGAGGCUUUGAUGUGUGCUAGAAGUUGGCUAUGGUGCAAGGAGAACAAUGGUGAUGUGAAUUCUCAAUUAUGUAAUGAGUUUGCAACUUUACUCAAUGAAAUAGAACCUGAUGAUGAAUGUGAAAUAUUGGCCAGUGGUGUUACUUCCCAUUUUGAAGAGUGAAGCUGAAGAUGUAGGUAGCAUAUGGAAAAAGA